CGUGGAACGUGCAAGAAAAAACAAAACUGAAAAUAAAAAGAAUUGAAAAUUAAAUAAUAAGAAGAUUCUCUUUUCUUUGUUUUUUAAAUUCUAUUUCUUCUUCUCUUUCUUCUUCUCUUUGUUCUUCUCUUUCUU
rnacentral:RNase_P_RNA from 15 species